rnacentral:rRNA from 1 species
AUAUGAAACGAUUAUUAAAAAUGAAAAGGGAUUGGUUAUAAUUUUAUAUUAUUUUAGAAAUAUUGUAUGAUUUUUAAAAUUAUAUAUAAUUUUAAGCAAUCCUUUUCAUUUGUACUUUUUUUAUGAAAAGUAACAAUAUAUUAUAUAUAUUCUUACUAAUUAUAAAAAUUGUACGAAAAUUUGGUAUCACAUAAUAAAAUUACUUUUUUUUAUGUUUUACCAAAUUUUCAUCAACAAUAUUGAAUUUUCAAUAUUUUGCAUAUAAUAUGUAUUUUUAUUGUUUAUAAUUAUUAUUUGUAGUUAAUUAUGUUUUGGAGAAAAGAUAAUUAUAUAUACUUAUUUCUAUAUAUAUAUCGUAAUUCAUAAUAUAAU